UGGGGAAUAUUGCGCAAUGGGCGAAAGCCUGACGCAGCGACGCCGCGUGAGGGACGAAGGCCUUCGGGUCGUAAACCUCUUUCAGCAGGGACGAAGCGCAAGUGACGGUACCUGCAGAAGAAGCACCGGCUAACUACGUGCCAGCAGCCGCGGUAAUACGUAGGGUGCAAGCGUUGUCCGGAAUUAUUGGGCGUAAAGAGCUCGUAGGCGGCUUGUCACGUCUGCUGUGAAAACUCGGGGCUCAACCCCGAGCCUGCAGUGGAUACGGGCUAGCUAGAGUGCGGUAGGGGAGACUGGAAUUCCUGGUGUAGCGGUGAAAUGCGCAGAUAUCAGGAGGAACACCGGUGGCGAAGGCGGGUCUCUGGACCGAUACUGACGCUGAGGAGCGAAAGCGUGGGGAGCGAACA
rnacentral:rRNA from 1 species